CCAAGGGUCCCCUGACCCCACAGAUGACCAAAGGGGCUCCCCAGGGCAGGGGGCUGCCCUUUGCAAUGCCCAGCAUUCCACAGGUCAUCCCCCAGACAGAGAAGUGGAAGAGGAUGGUGGGGCCUGUCCCUGGUUUGAGAGGAAGGGGAGCCCAUGAGAAGAAGUCCAACCAAAGCUGGAUGAAACCUUUCCAUGAUUUGGAUCAAGGCCAUCACAGCAGCUUUCAUGGCCCCAGCCCUUCUCCUCCCAUUUCAACAGAGCCUCACAGAUGGGGCACCUGAUAACACCCCUGUCUUCUGUCCAGCCCUUCUGGCCCCCUUUGUGUUUGCUUUUCCUCCCAGCAGUUCCAUGUCUGGUGCUGCCCUGGGCCAGGAGGGAAGUGACCAAGCUGUGGGGCUCAGCAUGAUGAGGGCUUUGUGUCCUUCAAAGGGGAUGAACAAACAGCCAGCGCUCCCAGCCUGGCUGGGGAUCCUGUGGAAAUACCACGGUCAGGACUCCUGGGAGCUGCUUCCUGCCUGCUCCAAGGCCUUGGAUGCAAAGAAGCCUUUUCCUGCCGCAAGGGUAAAACCAGCUUUACCCAGAGAGCAAGAGCCCAGCCCUGCCAUGUGUUAAUCCCAAAGGAUGCCUGUCGCAGCUGCCACCAAUGCAGAGAGAAGGCAAUUAGCAGCAGGUUAACAAGACAAAGCCAACUCUCAGUUUGCAAGAGGCUCUGGCACCUGCCUGGGAGCAUUUAAUUACCCUGACAAUGGCAUCAAGAGAAGAAGGGCCACGAGACCCCUUCAAUCACAAAUCCACAGAGGAGGCACCGGCUUUGCCUGCUGCUCCCACAUGCCUGAGGCCAGCACCUGCAGGCUGCAGCCUUUUCCCAAGAGCAGAACCAUCACCCAGCCCUCUUAGGGACACCUUUUCUUCCUCAGAGCCGGCAAUGCUGCACACGGUACUGGCUUUUUCAUGUCGUGUAUUUCCUGUGUCCUUUGCACUGCUCUUAACCAAUAAAUGCACAUUAUAAAAGAGCAAA